rnacentral:tRNA from 1 species
GCUAUGAUGGCCGAGUGGUUAAGGUGUUGGACUCGAAAUCCAAUGGGGUUUCCUUGCACAGGUUCAAACCCUGUUCACAACG